GAGGGUAUAGCUCAGUGGUAGAAAGCCUGCUUAGCAUGCACGAGGUCCUAGGUUCAAUCCCUGGUACCUCCA
rnacentral:tRNA from 1 species